UGGUGCGUAAAUCGGACCCGGCUGUCAGGCGGCAGUGGCGCGACUGCGACUGAGAAGAGUGGGCGCGGACGCAGUGUGAUUGAUAGCGAAGAUCCAGGGAAGUGAGGAUAACUGAUACCAAUCAACAUUUUCAGCAAGGUGGACGGAGCCCGACCACCCCCCGCCGCGGCCGCCAUGACGCUGGGCGGUGGUGACCAGCGCGUGGUGCGCCGCGCCGCCGUGGUGCAGUUCGCCGCCGGCUCGGAGCCGGGACCGAGCCGGCCGCGGCUGCCGCGUCGCCAGCUGCACUCGUCUGCCUCCCGACCAUCCGUGGCCGACAAACUGUCCCAGAUGAACCUCAGUUUCGCCGGCUGCGGCUUCCUCGGCGUGUACCACAUCGGCGUGGCGGCCUGCAUGAGCCGCUACUGCCCGGAGCUGCUGCAGAACCGGAUCGCGGGCGCGUCGGCCGGCGCCAUCGCGGCGGCCGCUCUCAUCUGUAACGCUAGUCUCAGUGAGAUCAUGUCGGAUCUGGUCGCCGUCUCGCGGGUCAUCCAGGACCACAUCGGCGGUCCGUUCAGCCCGUUCGUCUCGGUGCCAGUCAUGCUGCGCGCCGGCCUGCAGAAGAAUCUGCCGGAUAACGCCCACGAGUUGUGCUCGGGACGUCUCCACAUCUCGGUGACGCGUCUCGAGGACGGCAAAAACGCCAUCCUGUCUCACUUCGAGUCCAAGGAUGAGCUCAUCACGGCGCUGCUGUGCACUGCCUUCAUCCCGGCGUUCUCCGGCUGGCGGCCUCCGCGCUUCGACGGCGUCCGCUACAUGGACGGUUGCUAUAGCAACAACCUGCCGACGCUGGACAGCCGCACCAUCACUGUCAGCCCGUUCUGUGGCGAGGCGGACAUCUGCCCGCGCGACCGCACGCUCAGCCUCAUCGUGAUUGAUGCGGCUAACACGCGGAUCGAGCUGACGCCGGAGAACUUUAUGCGGGUGUUUAUGAUCAUGUACCCGCCGUCGCCCGAGACGCUCUCCGAUCUGGCCAAUCAGGGUUUCAACGACGCCAUCCGUUUUCUGAUGCGUCACGACCUGAUGAAGUGUCAGGUGUGCGUGAUGACAACAGAGAUUGUCGGCCGCGCCUACUCCAGCUGUGGGAGGCUCAUCCAGCACGUGCACUGCGACGACUGCUCGCACAAACAACAGGAGGCGAUGCUGGCCCGUCUACCGGACGCCGUUCACGAGCCGCUCCACCAGAACAUCCUCCGUCAGAGGAGCAUGCUGCGUAACUGGGUGCUCAACUUCCCGGGCGUGAGACACCUCAUGGUGCUGGCCGUGCCAUGGACGCUGCCCUUCGGCAUCAUCAGACAGAUCUACGACAGGCUGGUGCAGCGCAUCCCGCAGCUGGCCUUUGUGCUGGAGACUAUCGCCGGAGAGGUGAUCAGCGCCGUACACAGCGGCUUCAGCGCCCACCUGCCGCGCUCUCGGCAGGUGCACGCCCGCUACCUGUGCCGCCUGAACCUCACCGAGUACGGAGAGUCGGCUGGCCUGGAAGAGGGACAGACGCAGGUGCCGGACGUGCUCGACGACGGCGCCGACGCCUACAUUCCGGGCAUCGUGCGACGCUUUGACCGCGAGUUCCACGUGGAUUUCACCAACAGGGAGCACGGUCUCACGGUGUGCACCAGUACGGACGCCGAGCGUCUGGAGAGCGAGGUAAUGGCCGCCGGCAUCCAGGUGGUGGACCGACAGCCGGCGGAGGAGGACGCCGGGGCGCCCGUCGACCGCGAGCUGGUGCGCAUGGCUCUGGAGGCGCAGGGCUCGGCCGACUGCGGCGUCAGCUGGUACUACACCGACAAGGACGGCAACCUGUGCGUGCGCCACGUGUCGGCCGUACCCACACCCGUGGCCACGCCGUGUGUGUCGCGACGCGCCAGCAUUUGCGAGGACUCCGACUCGGUGGCUGCCGUACAGCUGCUGCGCCGCCGAGCCGCCGCCGCCGCCGCGCGCGACUCUGAUGACUCUGAGGACACGGAGUCCGAGUCGAUGGCAGAGGCGGAGAGGUUAGCCGCCGGGUCGGCCCACUGACCCGCCCCUAUCCCGCCCAGCAUGCGACUAACGGGGCCGGCGGGCUCGCCUCCUGCGCUAACACGCCGCGGGAGGAGAGCAUGACGUACGACGCCGGUAUGGGGGUGAUCAAGGAGGAGACCAACGACCCUCUGCCCGAGGACUAGGUCAUGGCGCAACCGCAUCUCGGGUACAGCGUGACUGCAGGGACACAGUGUCUUACCGCUCAAUACCGGACCGAUUUCAGUACUCAUCAGUGACAGAUCGUAUACGACAGUGUGUGGCUACCUCUGUUUGAAGCUAAUGUCCUACCUAUUAUAUUAUAUUCGUAGUGCGUCCCAGCAAAUGUGCCAUAUAUUGGCAUAAAUGCUGUGUACGCUAAAUUGUCUUACUUGAUUGACAUUUAAUCUGUGUGAAUUAGUGUAGUAUUUGAAGGCCUGCUGGAUGGGUCUUCUGAUCGCAAUGUCCAGAAGACUGACUUCCAGAGGCGCCUGAUGUGACCAGAGCUGACUGGACUUAAUGGGCUGGGCACCGCCCCCGAGUCAUCAGGUCGUUCGAUGGGGAUGAGGGAGGGAGGGGCAGGGAGGGGGGGGGGUUGCGGGGCUCCAGGCUCACCGGGGCAAGUAUUGUCAUGCAUAUCGAGUGUUCGUUGUCCAACAUGUGGGGUGAUCGUAUGGGCAUAAUGGUUAUGACGGGGUAGUAGCCAUUUGACGCUAUAUUACGUUAUUUUACAAUUUAACUACAGAUAGGCUAGCUGGGGCGAUUCAUGUGUAUCGGUUUCUGUGUUAUUUAUGUGACUUAUAGUUCUAGCUGCUACUGGUUCAGUGUGUAACGUGAUUGGUCACUGUAUAAUGCAUAUGUUUGGCCAGUGUCAUAUAUGACACCAUUGCGAUACUCCAUUUAAGCUAAGUUUCUGGGCUGCGUGAAUGCUUUUGCGCUCGACGUCUGUACUCCGUAACCGUAUUCUUGUUUGAUAGUACGAAGGCAUAAUUCGACUGGAAUCAGAAUAACUGCACAGAUGUUGUUGGACGUCAUAGCUUUAAGGCGCAAUGUGUGUUUGCAUUUUCUGACCUGUUUAAAAUAAAAUGUGCCUAGAAUUCGACUGAUGCGGUCUGUGCCUAAACGGGUAUCACAACUCGUCAACAUCACAACUUAAUCCCUGUGUUCUAUGUGUAUUUGGGUCCUGUGUUGUAUCCCAUGCCAUGCAGUAAAUACAUAAAUAAUUAAAUCAAA